AGGGGCUUAGGAUAGAAGUCAGACCAAAAGCCUUCAAAGCUUUAAGCAGAAGUUAAAGUCUUCUAGCCCCUG
rnacentral:tRNA from 1 species